rnacentral:rRNA from 1 species
UACGUAGGGGGCGAGCGUUAUCCGGAAUUAUUGGGCGUAAAGGGUUCGCAGGUGGUCCUUUAAGUCAGGUGUGAAAGGCAGUGGCUCAACCAUUGCAAGCACUUGAAACUGAAGGACUUGAGUACAGGAGAGGAAAGCGGAAUUCCUAGUGUAGCGGUGAAAUGCGUAGAUAUUAGGAGGAACACCAGUGGCGAAGGCGGCUUUCUGGACUGUAACUGACACUGAGGCAUGAAAGCGUGGGUAGCAAACAGG